UCGACGAUGAACCCAGCUUGCUGGGUGGAUUAGUGGCGAACGGGUGAGUAACACGUGAGUAACCUGCCCUUAACUCUGGGAUAAGCCUGGGAAACURGGUCUAAUACCGGAUAGGAGCGYCYACCGCAUGGUGGGUGUUGGAAAGAUUUAUCGGUUUUGGAUGGACUCGCGGCCUAUCAGCUUGUUGGUGAGGUAAUGGCUCACCAAGGCGACGACGGGUAGCCGGCCUGAGAGGGUGACCGGCCACACUGGGACUGAGACACGGCCCAGACUCCUACGGGAGGCAGCAGUGGGGAAUAUUGCACAAUGGGCGMAAGCCUGAUGCAGCGACGCCGCGUGAGGGAUGACGGCCUUCGGGUUGUAAACCUCUUUCAGUAGGGAAGAAGCGAAAGUGACGGUACCUGCAGAAGAAGCACCGGCUAACUACGUGCCAGCAGCCGCGGUAAUACGUAGGGUGCGAGCGUUAUCCGGAAUUAUUGGGCGUAAAGAGCUCGUAGGCGGUUUGUCGCGUCUGUCGUGAAAGUCCGGGGCUUAACCCCGGAUCUGCGGUGGGUACGGGCAGACUAGAGUGCAGUAGGGGAGACUGGAAUUCCUGGUGUAGCGGUGGAAUGCGCAGAUAUCAGGAGGAACACCGAUGGCGAAGGCAGGUCUCUGGGCUGUAACUGACGCUGAGGAGCGAAAGCAUGGGGAGCGAACAGGAUUAGAUACCCUGGUAGUCCAUGCCGUAAACGUUGGGCMCUAGGUGUGGGGACCAUUCCACGGUUUCCGSGCCGCAGCUAACGCAUUAAGUGCCCCGCCUGGGGAGUACGGCCGCAAGGCU
rnacentral:rRNA from 1 species